CAUGGCGAAGCGUGUAAUAAACCACCUGCGGUCCUAAAACACACCUGUUGAGUAUUAGAGAAGCAAUUAAACAGGUAUCCGACAAAGGUGUUCACAAGACAAAGCUCCUGAGCAGUUUCUCCAUCUAAAGGAGCGGUUUUGGGAAUCAACCAAUUCACUCAGUAGACGAUUUUAGCUCAUGUGGAAGACGUGACCAGGUGGCCGACGUGACCUGGUGGAAGACGUGACCAGGUGGCCGACAACCUGGUGGAAGACGUGACCAGGUGGCCGACGUGACCUGGUGGAAGACGUGACCAGGUGGCCGACAACCUGGUGUAAGACGUGACCAGGUGGCCGACCACCUGGUGUAAGACGUGACCAGGUGGCCGACCAGGUUUAAUAAAUACCUAAAUUCAA